rnacentral:rRNA from 1 species
GAUGAACGCUGGCGGCGUGCCUAAUACAUGCAAGUCGAGCGAACAGACGAGGAGCUUGCUCCUCUGACAUUAGCGGCGGACGGGUGAGUAACACGUGGAUAACCUACCUAUAAGACUGGGAUAACUUCGGGAAACCGGAGCUAAUACCGGGUAAUAUAUUGAACCGCAUGGUUCAAUAGUGAAAGACGGUUUUGCUGUCACUUAUAGAUGGAUCCGCGCCGCAUUAGCUAGUUGGUAAGGUAACGGCUUACCAAGGCAACGAUGCGUAGCCGACCUGAGAGGGUGAUCGGCCACACUGGAACUGAGACACGGUCCAGACUCCUACGGGAGGCAGCAGUAGGGAAUCUUCCGCAAUGGGCGAAAGCCUGACGGAGCAACGCCGCGUGAGUGAUGAAGGUCUUCGGAUCGUAAAACUCUGUUAUUAGGGAAGAACAAAUGUGUAAGUAACUAUGCACGUCUUGACGGUACCUAAUCAGAAAGCCACGGCUAACUACGUG